rnacentral:rRNA from 1 species
UGCCAGCCGCCGCGGUAAUACGGAGGGUGCAAGCGUUGUCCGGAUUUAUUGGGUUUAAAGGGUGCGUAGGCGGUCUUUUAAGUCAGAGGUGAAAUCCCACAGCUUAACUGUAGAACUGCCAUUGAUACUAUCAUUCUUGAGUACAUUUGAAGUGGGCGGAAUGUGUCAUGUAGCGGUGAAAUGCUUAGAUAUGACACAGAACACCGAUUGCGAAGGCAGCUCACUAAGUUGUAACUGACGCUGAUGCACGAAAGUGUGGGGAGCGAACAGGAUUAGAUA